rnacentral:lncRNA from 1 species
GUUAAAGUACGGCCUUCAACACGGAGCCUUAGCUCACACCGAACAACAAGCUAUAAAGGGCCCCAAAAUUACUAGUGUAAACCCAUUCAAACGGGAAAACCAACGGUCUAAUCUAUAUAAAUAAAACGAGAAACGAGAAACACGUAUAUAUUACAUAAACAAACGACAGCUACUGUACAUCAGAUUCCUGACUUAGGACAGGUGCAACAUUUGCAGCGGGAUUAAACGUUUUAAUGGAUCCAAACCUUCUCCCUUUUUCUGAAACAA